rnacentral:rRNA from 1 species
GAUGAACGCUGGCGGCGUGCCUAAUACAUGCAAGUCGAGCGAACGGACGAGAAGCUUGCUUCUUUGAUGUUAGCGGCGGACGGGUGAGUAACACGUGGAUAACCUACCUAUAAGACUGGGAUAACUUCGGGAAACCGGAGCUAAUACCGGAUGAUAUUUUGAACCGCAUGGUUCAAAAGUGAAAGACGGUCUUGCUGUCACUUAUAGAUGGAUCCGCGCUGCAUUAGCUAGUUGGUAAGGUAACGGCUUACCAAGGCAACGAUGCAUAGCCGACCUGAGAGGGUGAUCGGCCACACUGGAACUGAGACACGGUCCAGACUCCUACGGGAGGCAGCAGUAGGGAAUCUUCCGCAAUGGGCGAAAGCCUGACGGAGCAACGCCGCGUGAGUGAUGAAGGUCUUCGGAUCGUAAAACUCUGUUAUUAGGGAAGAACAAAUGUGUAAGUAACUGUGCACAUCUUGACGGUACCUAAUCAGAAAGCCACGGCUAACUACGUG